UACGUAGGGGGCUAGCGUUGUCCGGAUUUAUUGGGCGUAAAGAGCGUGUAGGCGGCUUGGUAGGUCUGCUGUGAAAACUCGAGGCUCAACCUCGAGAUGUCGGCGGAAACCAUCUGGCUAGAGUCCGGAAGAGGAGAGUGGAAUUCCUGGUGUAGCGGUGAAAUGCGCAGAUAUCAGGAGGAACACCAAUGGCGAAGGCAGCUCGCUGGGACGUGACUGACGCUGAGACGCGAAAGCGUGGGGAGCAAACAGG
rnacentral:rRNA from 1 species